AAAUGGCCUACCCCUUAUUCUUAAACUGUGACACCCCCGGCCCCUGGUUCUGGACUCCCCCAACAUGGGGGAAAUUUUUCCUGCAUCUAGCCUGUCUAAACCCUUAAGGAUUUUAUAUGUAGCAGCUUCCAACGUGGCCUUAAAGAGGAAACAAUAAAUAUAUGAUGAGAAAAUAUUGGAAAGCCACUGGGAAUGGAAAUAAUGGAUUGCUCUGACAAAGAGCUAGCACGGGCAUGAUGGGACAAAUGGCCUGUGCAGCCAUCAUUCUGUUAUUUUGAAUGUUGUUCCAUUGAGACUGCAUGUCUCACCAGUUGAAGGUUUGUUACAGUUUGUUCUGUUGAUAUUGUAAAUAAUGUCAUGUUACAAUUUAAGAUAUGGCUACAAUAGAGAAUUUUAUUGGCAAUAUGAGGCUUCAUAUAUUUGUUUAUCCAAAUUUCAACAUUGCAUCAUAUUUGUAAAUAGGUGUUGGGAUCUUGUCUUAAAGGUUAUUUAUUGAUCAUAUUUUAUCUGGAAUUUUGUCAACUGUGAAAACACUAUUAUAUCCCUUAUUUUCAUA